rnacentral:ncRNA from 1 species
GAGAAGGAAGUAUUUAUGGAGGAGAGUUUAUAUUUCAUUAUACCUUAGAGACUGGUAAAGGCGAAAGCAACCUUCUAUCUAAUAACUGACGUUGAGGUACGAAGGCCUGGGUAGCAAACAGGAUUAGAUACCCUAGUAGUCCAGGCAGAGAAUUAUGAAUGCCAUAUGCUAGAUUAAUUUAGCAUAUAAAUGAAAGUGUAAGCAUUUCACCUUAAGAGUAAUGCGGCAACGCAGAAACUGAAAUCAUUAGGCCGUUUCUGAAAUCAGUAGUGAAGUAUGUUAUUUAAUUCGAUAUUCCACGAAAAACCUUACCACAAUUUGCAUAUUAUUUUUAAUCUUAAUUGCAUAAAAAUAUUACAAGCGUUGCACGGCUGUCUUCAGUUAAUGUCGUGAGAUUUUGGUUUGUUCCAUAAAAUUAACGUAAACCCUUGCUUUAUUUUUAAAUAGUAUUUUAUAAAGCAGUUCGCCAUUAUAUUGGUUGAUAUAUGGGACCAAGACAAGUCAUCAUGACCUUAAUAUUGUGGGC